UUUUCGGUUUUGGCUCUGAUACGCAGCGGUUAGUUCUCCGUAGCUCGCUAACUUUAUGCUCGGUUAAAAUAUGGGCUGUGCAACAUCGUAUAACCUUUUGUAAGCACAAUGAGACCAAUAUUGGAUUACAUAAAUUCUUCGUUAAAGAGCUAUUGAGAUUUGAAGAACCGAAUGUCUGUCGAAUGUCCAAUCUAAAACUAACUUUUUUACGCGCGUUCAUACUGUUUUAGGUCUGUUAGAUUAACUAAUGAUAUAAUAAAAAAAAUCGAGUCUCUCUGUCAUCGCAGUUUUGAGUUUUGAUGCGUCGUGCGCAUAAAGUGAAUGAGGGAUUAUGUGAUUCUGUGAUUUUUCUUGAUUAUUCUGUUUGGUACAUCGUUAUCAAGGACUUAAUUCUCCCCACACAGUAGGCCUAUAGGUUCCACUGCCAUGUUCGCCACUGAGAGCGUCACCACCAAAAGUCAGUCCAGUAUUGAGUGGUCAGGCACAGGACGCGUGAACUGCGUCAAGCGCUUUUCAGUCCUCUACUGUCAAGUCCAGAAAUCGUGGAGUCUCCAGGCUGUCGGGAUCGGUUCUGUGCGCCUCUAAUUUUUUGUUCAGGAUUUACGAGAAAUGACUCACAGAACACUGUAUGUAUACGAAAAUGAUUCAACCAAACGACGUGAAACAGAAGGACAUUCUCAAAGUAAUCAUCCAAUGAUAACUACAGAUUCCUGUGCUAACAUAACUGCCGGUUGCCAGGGACAUUACCAGAGGUCGUACAAUGAGGAGAGACCGGCGGCGCUGCGGCAGACGCUGGGGAAGUCCCGGAGACUCGGCAUGCGGGGGCCCACCUACAUGUUCAGCGCCCACUCCGCCAGCCUGUCCCCGACCGAGGAGCGCUUCCUGGACGCCGCAGAGUACGGCAACAUCCCUGUGGUCCGCAAGAUGCUGGAGGAUCUUCCUGAUCUCAACUUUAACUGCGUGGACUACAUGGGCCAGAAUGCAUUGCAGCUGGCAGUGGCCAAUGAGCACCUGGAAGUGACAGAGCUGUUACUGCAGAAGGACAGCCUGGCCAGGAUAGGGGAUGCCUUACUGUUGGCCAUCAGUAAGGGAUACAUCAGGAUAGUGGAGGCACUACUGAGCCACAGGGCGUUUGCAGACACUCAGAGACUCAUCUGUAGUCCCAGUCAGGCCGAGACGCAGGACGACUUCUUCGCCUACGACGAGGACGGCACCCGGUUUUCCAAUGACAUCACUCCUGUUAUCCUGGCUUCUCACUGCCACGAGUACGAGGUAGUUCACAUACUCCUGAGGAAAGGUGCUCGCAUCACGCGGCCACACAACUACUUCUGUAAGUGCGUCACUUGUUGCUACCACCAGAAGCACGACUCGUUCAGUCACUCCAGGUCCCGCAUCAACGCCUACAAAGGUCUGGCGAGCCCGGCCUACCUGUCACUCUCCAGCGAGGACCCUGUCAUGGUAGCUUUGGAGCUGAGCAACGAACUGGCUGUUCUGGCUAACAUCGAGAAAGAGUUUAAGAAUGACUACAAGAAACUGUCCAUGCAGUGUAAAGACUUUGUGGUAGGGCUGCUGGACCUGUGUCGAAACACAGAGGAGGUGGAGGCCAUCUUAAAUGGGGACAUUGAUGCUUCUAAGAACUACGAGCCAUCGGAUGGUCAAAAUCUCAUCAGGUUAAAGCUCGCAAUAAAGUAUGAACUGAAAAAGCUGCUGCAUCCAGGAACUCUGCAGUGUGUUGUGCCUAAGAGCAUUUUUUUUGCUGUGUUUGUGGCCCAUCCUAACUGCCAGCAGCAGCUCAUGUCCAUCUGGUACCAGAACCUGGCUUGGUUAAGACAGCAGACAAGUGCUGUCAAGUCGCUGGUCGUUCUGGGCGUAGCAGUGGGGCUGCCGUUCCUAGCCCUGUUGUACUGGAUAGCCCCAUCCAGCAAGCUGGGGAAGAUAAUGCGCGGGCCGUUCCUGAAGUUUGUGGCUCACGCUGCAUCGUUUUCCAUCUUCCUGGGUCUGCUGGUGUUGAAUGCAGCGGAUCGCUUUGUGGGGACCAGUCUGCUCCCCAACAUGACCGUUCAGGACUACCCCACCCAGCUGUUCAGGAUGAAGACCACCCCCUUCACCUGGAUGGAGAUACUCAUCAUCGCCUGGGUCAUAGGGAUGAUCUGGGCCGAGUGUAAAGAGAUUUGGUCCCAGGGGCUUCGGGAAUAUCUGUUGGAACCCUGGAACCUACUAGAUUUUGGAAUGCUCUGCUUAUUUGUGACAUCGUUCAUUACUAGAUUUAUGGCCUUCUGGCAUGCCUACUUAGCCCAGAGCUACAUUGACAAGCACUACACCGACCUGUCCAACAUAACCCUGGCCCCUGAAAUAGAGUACUACAGGCGAGCUCGUAUCAACUGGGUGCCCUCUGACCCCCAGCUCAUCUCCGAGGGUCUGUAUGCCAUCGCUGUGGUACUGAGCUUCUCCCGAAUCGCCUACAUCCUGCCGGCCAACGAGAGCUUUGGGCCCCUGCAAAUAUCACUCGGUCGGACAGUGAAGGACAUCUUUAAGUUCAUGGUCAUCUUCAUCAUGGUUUUCGUGGCCUUCAUGUUUGGGAUGUUCAACCUCUACUCGUACUAUCUUGGUGCCAAGCAGAACAAUGCCUUCACCACUGUGGAGGAAAGCUUCAAGACGUUAUUCUGGGCCAUAUUCGGCCUGUCUGAAGUAAGGUCGGUGGUGAUCAACAAUGACCACAAGUUCAUAGAGAACAUUGGAUAUGUCCUGUAUGGUGUGUACAAUGUCACCAUGGUGAUCGUCCUCCUUAACAUGCUCAUCGCCAUGAUCAACAGCUCCUUCCAGGAAAUAGAGGAUGAUGCCGAUGUAGAGUGGAAGUUUGCCAGGGCCAAGCUGUGGUUCUCCUACUUUGAGGAAGGUGGAACUUUGCCAGUUCCCUUUAACCUGGUUCCUAGUCCCAAGUCCAUCAUCUCCCUGGUGAAGGUGCUCAGAGACCUCCUGCUCUCUCUGAGCGGUCACAAGAGCCCUCACAAGGAGGAUACAGAGGUCAAUAAGCUUGAUCAUCUUAAUCAUUCAACCAUCGGAGGCUCUGCUAGUCGACAUCAGAAGAUAAUGAAACGCCUCAUCAAGAGAUAUGUGAUCAAAUCUCAGAUUGAUAAAGACAGUGAUGAAGUGAAUGAAGGUGAGCUGAAGGAGAUCAAGCAGGACAUCUCUAGCUUACGCUACGAGCUCCUGGAGGAGAAGAACCACAACAUGGAGGAGCUAGCGGAGCUCAUCCGGAGCUUGGGGGCGAAGGCAUCUGCUGAGCACUGACACCAGCGGCAAGCUAACCUGUACAUGAAGAUGGACAAUGCCACACAUCCACAUCACAGUAAUCCAACGCAGAAGAGAAGCAGCUUCUGUUACAGGUGCAGCCUAAUCCAACGCAGCAGAGAAGCAGCUUCUGUUGCAGGUGCAGCCUGCCCUGAAGCUCCACCCAGAGGGUCAGAUGGCCGUUUCCACCCACACCCGCAGUGCGUCACUCAGGAUAAUGGUGUUUGCUGAAUGACUAAAAUGUACAAUAAAAUGUGAAAUUUAGUGAUUCAUUUAAGUGAAAGGCUUUUUCUUUUUUGUAUGUCUGGUGUUAAAACACUUGUCUUUCCACAGGGAUGAACAGCAGAAUCUCUUAUCUUUUUAAAUGAGUCUAUCUUCCUUGUGCUAGUAUGUUAAUAGGCGUUUCUAAGACUUCUUUUAUUGACAAUAAAUGAUUUCCCAACUCAGGAUCAAUGAAGUACCUUUCUAAUCUCUCCUGUAACCCCCCCCCUUCAGGUUCUAAGCCUCAGGCCUCCUGUGUUCCCCAGAGGAGGGGGGUUAGAUGACACUUUAGUCCAACAAAAACACACUGAGAUCUGUACUGAAAUUUAUAAGAACGAACAUUUUGAAUGAAAAGGUUUCUGAAGUUACUUCCACUGGGCUCAUGGUGGCACUGCUGUGAUUCAUCCAGCAGCAGAUGUCUCACCCAACGCCCGUUCUUCAGCCCAUCUAGUCACUUUGGACAGUGGGAAAAGAUUCAUAGUUGUAUUUCCUUUGCAGCUAAUCAAAUUCCUGGGCAAAGAAACAAAAUAACACAUCCGACAUGCUGAAACCCAAAA